rnacentral:rRNA from 1 species
UACGUAGGGGGCAAGCGUUGUCCGGAAUCAUUGGGCGUAAAGCGCGUGUAGGCGGCUUGGUAAGUCCGCUCUGAAAGCCCGGGGCUCAACCCCGGGAGGCGGGUGGAUACUGUCAAGCUCGAGUCCGGAAGAGGCGAGUGGAAUUCCUGGUGUAGCGGUGAAAUGCGUAGAUAUCGAGAGGAACACCUGCGGCGAAGGCGGGUUGCUGGGCCGACACUGACGCUGAUGCGCGAAAGCCAGGGGAGCGAACGGG